UCCGUGUACCACAGCUCCUUUAACACAA
rnacentral:piRNA from 1 species